rnacentral:rRNA from 1 species
CGUGUAGUGAAAUGCGUAWAGAUGUGGAGGAAUACCGAUGGCGAAGGCAGCCCCCUGGGCCAAUACUGACGCUCAUGCACGAAAGCGUGGGGAGCAAACAGGAUUAGAUACCCUGGUAGUCCACGCCCUAAACGAUGUCAACUAGUUGUUGGGGAUUCAUUUCCUUAAUAACGUAACUAACGCGUGAAGUUGACCGCCUGGGGAGUACGGUCGCAAGAUUAAAACUCAAAGGAAUUGAC